GGGGCUGCAGCCCGCGUCCCCCCCACCACGCUUUCCCUGCCCCGCGACCCCGGGGCUGCCAUACUCUCCCUUUCCCGCUCCCUGUGGACCAGCUCAGUGGCGUCUGCGCUGCUCCAUGGCUGAGAGCCUCCAGCUGUAAAGCCCAGCUUCUCCUGGUGGAGUCGGGAAAAGGGAGCAUCAGUACUGAGCGAGCUUCCUUCUCCUCCCUUAGUGUUUCUGCCCCAGUACGUUUUGGUUACUGAGACCCUCGAAUUCCCAUAUGAAUUGUAGCAGCAGCUAGUCAGUUUCUGCAGAGGAGCCCGCAGGGAUUGUGAUCGAGACCACGUUGAAUAUACGGAUCGUUCUGGGGAGCACUGCCAUUCCAAGAACGCUGUCUUCUGAUCCAGGAAUGUGAUGCUGCUCUGGUUGCUGAAUGUGCCCUUUCCCCAAAAUUGGUUUUGGAGUUAAGUCACCAUCAGUGGAGCCCUCUCUUUAAAAGAUGAAGAGAAUAUUUGCUCCUUCUCCCUGGUUGGGGACUUGGAUGAGAUGAGGUGCCCUCCCUCCAGUAGCAUCCAUCCAGACACCAGCACUGACACUGGCCGUGCUCAGAACUGCCUCAGCCCUGAAGACACAACUGACGAAUAGAAGGGGGCCAUGCCCUGUUAUAGCAGGUGCUCUCACUUUGUGGAUCCUUAUGUAACUGAGCGGUGUUAAUCAGGAUUGCCCGUUCUACAUUGUGUGGCGCUGCUGCAGUGUCUCCUAGUUACUUGUUUCUUGUAAAAAUGCCGGUGACUGAGUUAGAGGCAUGCUUCCAAGCUGUCCGUGUCCUUGCCAUUCAGAAGCGGACCCUGGAAGCUUCCGAAUUUCUCCAGAAUGCGUUCUACAUUCACAUUCGGCAGUUGGCCCGCCAUAUCUGUAGUUUCCACUUCAUGGAUCCAGAUGGCUGAUUGUAAAGGGACUCGAACAUCCUUGGAUUAUGGAAUCCAGGAUGGGGGUUUCCUGAAACCAACCCCCCGAGGAUACUAAGGGAUGACUCUACAUGUAGGAGUGAAACUGCUGUGCCAUAUAACUCUAACCUUUUGAGGAAACAACAGACUUCUCCAAAGAAGCUGCACCAUUGUCCCUUUCCACUGGCCGCAUAUGAGAUACCCAGCUUUCCCUGCACCACUUGUUGAAUAGACUAUUCUUUCAAUGGAGUGUUGUUGGCACCCUUGUGGAAAACUGACUGUAAAUAUAAGGAUACUGAGAAUUAAGUCUUCUCUCUUUUGGGUGGAGCUCAUUAUCAAUGAAGGGAAGUUGUAAGGAAAAAGAUAUUGAUUCAUCCUGAGAAAACAUUUUUCUGAGAGUCAGCAGUGAAGAGGGUGAACAGUAAAGAAGGUGAUCAUUGUUCGAUUGAGACGAGCCCCGGGUUGUACGGAGUCAGCAUCCUUGUCCUGGACACGGCCAGUGUAGAGCUGCGUGGUGGGUGAGGCGGCGCAGCGGCGCAGGGAACGCAGAUGCCGGGCCGUUGGGCUGUGCUCAGGCCCGGUGGGGCUUUCUCCUAAGGGCAGUGGACCGUCAUUGUCAGAUUUUAAGUAGGGGAGUGGGGUGCUCUCGUAGAUCACUUUUGUCUUGUAAAAUGCUUAGAAACAUUUAGAAGGCUCGGCAGGAGGUGAUGUGAUGAGUCAGAUUAGGGUGGCUGCGAGGUGUAGGAGUGUAGAAUUUUCAAGUGGCUUUCAGUCCCAGUUUUGUGGCUCAGUAGCCUUGUCACAUUGGAUGAUGCACUCAAGGAAGAGAAACAAUUUAUCUAAUCAAUAAAAGCAGUGAUGUACCGACCUCCCAGGACUGCUGUGGAGAUCCAGUGAGAUAACGUGUGCACAGCGUGCAGCAUGGUCCCCAGCACAGAGUCAGUGCUGAGGGAGUGCCAGUGAGAACCUGGUAGGUGAGGUGUGGGUGGUGGGACUCGUUGACGGAGGAAAUUGGGCCCUGAAGGAGGGGUCCAGUCACAUCUGUGAGUGAUGGGCCUGAGCUGGGAGAGGCAGAGAGACCUUGACCCCCGACCAGGGGCCCUGGGCAGGACGGCUAUUAGAGGAGCACCGUGAAGUCAACUCUUUGCAGGUGGAGUUGGAGUUGCCCUUGAGACCACUAAGUGCAGUGUCACGAGAUCAAAGAGGAGGUCUGGGCCCAGGCUGUGCAUUUUCCUAUAAUCUUAAUCCCUGAGGACGCCGAGGUAUUGAUCACUGAACCUGAAGACAUACUUUACAGGACAAGUGAAUAGUAGUAUCAUCUCUGUCAUCAAAGCUCACGUCUCUUUAUUCAUCACCCACUUUGCUAAUUGGGUACUUACAGAGCUCACUUCACCGCCCUCCCCUGGGAUCAGGCUCCAAAGUAAAGAGCUGGUGAGCCUCCCUCCUUUCCAGAAGAUGACACAUUUUGCUGGUAGCCUUCUGUACCUCGCCAGACUUAGAAUUUUAGUUUGUUGAUUUAAUUCUAUUUUCUGUUAGCCAUCUCCUUACAAGAGAGACCUUUUACUUCAUGGUCAUAUUUCAAUUAGCUGUUACUGAGAAUUGCUGAUCUGAUACAUAGAGUAAGUAUUAUAUUAACCUUGUAGAGUAUUUAUCAUUUUUCUG